UACGUAGGUGGCGAGCGUUGUCCGGAUUUACUGGGUGUAAAGGGCGUGUAGGCGGGAUUGUAAGUCAGAUGUGAAAUUCCAGGGCUCAACUCUGGAGCUGCAUCUGAAACUAUGAUUCUUGAGUGUCGGAGAGGUUAGUGGAAUUCCUAGUGUAGCGGUGAAAUGCGUAGAUAUUAGGAGGAACACCAGUGGCGAAGGCGGCUAACUGGACGAUAACUGACGCUGAGGCGCGAAAGCGUGGGGAGCAAACAGG
rnacentral:rRNA from 1 species